rnacentral:rRNA from 1 species
GUUAUAUGGUCAAGUGAAGAAGCGCAUACGGUGGAUGCCUUGGCAGUCAGAGGCGAUGAAAGACGUGGUAGCCUGCGAAAAGCUUCGGGGAGUCGGCAAACAGACUGUGAUCCGGAGAUGUCUGAAUGGGGGAACCCAGCCAUCAUAAGAUGGUUAUCACACACUGAAUACAUAGGUGUGUGAGGCGAACCAGGGGGAACUGAAACAUCUAAGUACCCUGAGGAAAAGAAAUCAACCGAGAUUCCCUUAGUAGUGGCGAGCGAACGGGGACUAGCCCUUAAGUUGAUUUGAGAUUAGCGGAACGCUCUGGAAAGUGCGGCCAUAGUGGGUGAUAGCCCUGUACGCGAAAAUCUCUUAUCAAUGAAAUCGAGUAGGACGGAGCACGAGAAACUUUGUCUGAAUAUGGGGGGACCAUCCUCCAAGGCUAAAUACUACUGACUGACCGAUAGUGAACCAGUACCGUGAGGGAAAGGCGAAAAGAACCCCGGAGAGGGGAGUGAAAUAGAACCUGAAACCGUAUGCGUACAAGCAGUGGGAGCCUACUUUGUUAGGUGACUGCGUACCUUUUGUAUAAUGGGUCAGCGACUUAUUUUCAGUGGCGAGCUUAACCGAAUAGGGGAGGCGUAGCGAAAGCGAGUCUUAAUAGGGCGUCUAGUCGCUGGGAAUAGACCCGAAACCGGGCGAUCUAUCCAUGGGCAGGUUGAAGGUUGGGUAACACUAACUGGAGGACCGAACCGACUACCGUUGAAAAGUUAGCGGAUGACCUGUGGAUCGGAGUGAAAGGCUAAUCAAGCUCGGAGAUAGCUGGUUCUCCUCGAAAGCUAUUUAGGUAGCGCCUCGUGUAUCACUGCUGGGGGUAGAGCACUGUUUCGGCUAGGGGGUCAUCCCGACUUACCAAACCGAUGCAAACUCCGAAUACCAGCAAGUGUCAGCACGGGAGACACACGGCGGGUGCUAACGUCCGUCGUGAAAAGGGAAACAACCCAGACCGUCAGCUAAGGUCCCAAAAUCCUGGUUAAGUGGGAAACGAUGUGGGAAGGCUUAGACAGCUAGGAGGUUGGCUUAGAAGCAGCCAUCCUUUAAAGAAAGCGUAAUAGCUCACUAGUCGAGUCGGCCUGCGCGGAAGAUGUAACGGGGCUCAAACCAGGUACCGAAGCUACGGGUUCAUCGUAAGAUGAGCGGUAGAGGAGCGUUGUGUAAGCCUGUGAAGGUGAGUUGAGAAGCUUGCUGGAGGUAUCACAAGUGCGAAUGCUGACAUGAGUAACGACAAUGCGAGUGAAAAACUCGCACGCCGAAAGACCAAGGGUUCCUGCGCAACGUUAAUCGACGCAGGGUGAGUCGGUCCCUAAGGCGAGGCUGAAGAGCGUAGUCGAUGGGAAACGGGUUAAUAUUCCCGUACUUCUGGUUACUGCGAUGGGGGGACGGAGAAGGCUAGGCCAGCUUGGCGUUGGUUGUCCAAGUUUAAGGUGGUAGGCAGAGAUCUUAGGUAAAUCCGGGAUCUUAAUGCCGAGAACUGAUGACGAUCCUUCUUUUAGAAGGAGAAGUGGUUGAUGCCAUGCUUCCAGGAAAAGCCUCUAAGCUUCAGGUAAUCAGGAACCGUACCCCAAACCGACACAGGUGGUUGGGUAGAGAAUACCAAGGCGCUUGAGAGAACUCGGGUGAAGGAACUAGGCAAAAUGGCACCGUAACUUCGGGAGAAGGUGCGCCGGUGAGGGUGAAGGGUUUACCCCGUAAGCUCAUGCCGGUCGAAGAUACCAGGCCGCUGCGACUGUUUAUUAAAAAACACAGCACUCUGCAAACACGAAAGUGGACGUAUAGGGUGUGACGCCUGCCCGGUGCCGGAAGGUUAAUUGAUGGGGUUAGCGCAAGCGAAGCUCUUGAUCGAAGCCCCGGUAAACGGCGGCCGUAACUAUAACGGUCCUAAGGUAGCGAAAUUCCUUGUCGGGUAAGUUCCGACCUGCACGAAUGGCGUAACGAUGGCGGCGCUGUCUCCACCCGAGACUCAGUGAAAUUGAAAUCGCUGUGAAGAUGCAGUGUAUCCGCGGCUAGACGGAAAGACCCCGUGAACCUUUACUAUAGCUUUGCACUGGACUUUGAAUUUGCUUGUGUAGGAUAGGUGGGAGGCUUUGAAGCGUGGACGCCAGUUCGCGUGGAGCCAUCCUUGAAAUACCACCCUGGCAACUUUGAGGUUCUAACUCUGGUCCGUUAUCCGGAUCGAGGACAGUGUAUGGUGGGUAGUUUGACUGGGGCGGUCUCCUCCUAAAGAGUAACGGAGGAGUACGAAGGUGCGCUCAGACCGGUCGGAAAUCGGUCGUAGAGUAUAAAGGCAAAAGCGCGCUUGACUGCGAGACAGACACGUCGAGCAGGUACGAAAGUAGGUCUUAGUGAUCCGGUGGUUCUGUAUGGAAGGGCCAUCGCUCAACGGAUAAAAGGUACUCCGGGGAUAACAGGCUGAUACCGCCCAAGAGUUCAUAUCGACGGCGGUGUUUGGCACCUCGAUGUCGGCUCAUCACAUCCUGGGGCUGAAGCCGGUCCCAAGGGUAUGGCUGUUCGCCAUUUAAAGUGGUACGCGAGCUGGGUUUAGAACGUCGUGAGACAGUUCGGUCCCUAUCUGCCGUGGACGUUUGAGAUUUGAGAGGGGCUGCUCCUAGUACGAGAGGACCGGAGUGGACGAACCUCUGGUGUUCCGGUUGUCACGCCAGUGGCAUUGCCGGGUAGCUAUGUUCGGAAGAGAUAACCGCUGAAAGCAUCUAAGCGGGAAACUUGCCUCAAGAUGAGAUCUCACUGGAGCCUUGAGCUCCCUGAAGGGCCGUCGAAGACUACGACGUUGAUAGGUGGGGUGUGUAAGCGUUGUGAGGCGUUGAGCUAACCCAUACUAAUUGCCCGUGAGGCUUGACCAUAUAACACCCAAACAAUU